UUUUUUUUUUUUUUUAAUCUCUCCCGUGCAAAGUGAGGAAGGAGCUGCACCAAGGCAGCCCUCGAGAUCUCGCAAUAAUUGCUCCGAUUUAUCGCUGCUAUUAUUCAUUAAUUAAUUCCCGUUUUUAAGCUCACCCAUCUGAGCGGGCCGCUCUUAAGAGAGAGAGACGUUUCCAUCCGUAUCAGUCAUUUGAUUUUUCGCCCUUUUCGCAAGGGAAAAAAAAGAAAAGCGGAGAGAGGGUGCAGGGCGGCCCGGCGGGGCGGGGGGAGACGCCGGCAAAUCCCGAGCUCCGGCGGUCCCGGCGCGGAGCGGCCGCGGGGGGAGGCGGGACCCAGCGCCGCCCGCCAGGGGGGCGAGCCGCCCCACACAGGUGAUGGGCGUUUCGGCUGCGCUCCGGAUCGACUCCUUGGGUUUCACUUUGGUCUGAUCUAAGCAAAUAUGCAGAAGUACCGGCUGGUCUAGUCCUAAGAGCCAAGAGGAGCGAGCGAGAGCGGCAGAAAGGAGAGCGGCCGCGCUCCCGUUGGAGGGGAACGUACAAACAGCGGCAGCGCCGUAAUUCCAGCACCGCCGCCCCGAGGCAGCCCCGAGCCACCCUGGAUGCGGAGGACCCUCGAAGCCACCCCGCUGCCUUUCCCCUGAGGGAUGGUACUGAAUUUCUGCGCGGCAGGAGCCGGCCUGCAGCUCCUCUCCAUCAGCGUUGCCUUCCCUCCGUAUCUAAAGUGCACUAGACCGCGAUGAGGACCUGGGCUUGCGUUUUGCUGAUAGGUUUUGGCUACCUGUCCUUUACCUCCUGCGAGGAGGCCGAGAUCCCGCAGGAGCUGAUCGAGCGGCUGGCGCACAGCGAGAUCCACAGCAUCCGCGACUUGCAGCGCCUCCUGGAGAUUGACUCCGUAGGAUACGAUGAUGUUUCAGAGACAAACUUGAGGUCUUACAGUGUUCAUUCAGCCAAACAUGUGCAAGAGAACCGUCCUGUGCCCAUUCGCAGAAAAAGAAGCAUUGAGGAAGCCAUCCCGGCUGUCUGCAAAACACGGACGGUGAUAUAUGAGAUACCUCGGAGUCAGAUUGAUCCCACCUCGGCCAACUUCCUGAUAUGGCCGCCGUGCGUGGAGGUGAAGCGCUGCACUGGCUGCUGCAACACCAGCAGUGUGAAAUGCCAGCCCUCACGGAUACAUCACAGAAGUGUCAAGGUGGCAAAAGUGGAAUAUGUUAGAAAAAAGCCAAAAUUAAAAGAAGUUCUGGUGAGAUUAGAAGAGCAUAUGGAAUGCACCUGUACAUCAACAAAUACUAAUUCAGAUUAUAGAGAAGAAGAAACUGAUUAACAGGUAUUUAUUGGGAGUAGUAUGAUAGAAGCAAAGAUUUUCUAAAAUUCAACUUUAAAAGUGCGCAUGUAAACUCAAUCAGAGCAGCAUUUAGAGCUUCUUGCCCCAGAUGUAAGGUGAAAAUAAGCUAGAAAAAAAACUUCUCUCUGGGACAUGGAUGUACAUGGUUUGUUACAUUCCUGAACCUACUAUGUAUGGUGCUUAUUGACUGUAUACUUUAUUUGUUCUCCUGUGUGGAAAAACAAACUGGCUCAAAAGAACACUUAAUGAGAACAAAGAGACAAUGUACAUUUGUUUAAUGUGACAUCAAAGCAAGUAUUGUAGCACUCUGUGAAACAAUAGGAAGCUUCCCUGUCCAAAAAAACAAAAACAAAAAAAAAAAAAAAAGGAAAAAAAAAUAGAGAAAAAAAACAAAACAGAAAAGAAAACAGACAGUUGAAUGAAUGGAUGGAGGAUACCAAAAGUACCCAAAAACAUGACAAAAAUCAGAGUGAAUAGUGGAUUUCUGUCAGAGCAGCCAACGGUGCUUUCCGUCAAGAAAUGUGCCUGCGUUCUUGAUGAAGAUGGAUGGACACUGAUGGACUUCAGGCACAAAAAAAGCAGGAAUGUAUGAAAUGAUCGAAUGCCGCGCCAACACUAUAGAACAAUACAUCCUUGCUUGGUGGUAUUUGAAAAGUCUAUACAAAAAAAGAAAAGAAAACCUUCUGGGGAGCCUUAAGUGGAAUUUUUUUUUUUUUUUUUUUUUUUUUUUUACACACCAUAAAGUGAUUAUUAAGUUUUCUUUUUACUCUUUGCCUAGCUUUUUAUUAUCUCUUGGGCUACAUUUGCCAAUAACACGUGUAAAAGACUGGUAUAACAAUAAGAACACACAACAUUGCGGUAUUUCUCCUAGUGGGAUGCGAACUAAUGAGAUGUAUUAAAAUAAAAGUGGUAUACCUAUGCAUAAUUUUCUAGACGUUUCUUGGUUUAUGUUCCCCAACCUCCCCCGUAAUUUAAAGCAUUACGUAAAAAGAAACAAAGAGGAAAGAAAAGAGAGAUGUGCGUGAACAAAUCAUAGGAUAUCCAUAUGAGAAUCCUUUUUGUUUUUCCUUUAAGACUUACGCCAGUUGCCUACUAGUGAUAUUGUGUUAGCAGUUGUCAUUCUUACCAGUAUACAGAUACUUUUAUUUCACAUGUUGGAGCUGUGUGAAAUGUACCAGUUCUUGUAUCUGCAUUGUACAAUGUCAUGGUGGCAUGGGAACUACCUUGCUGCAAAUAUUUGAACAAAACCUAAAAAUUCUUUAUUUUUGGUAAAAAUGUUAUGCUUUAUGUGUAUUCAACAGAAAUAUGUGUUUUUGUAAAGGUGAAGUUUGUAUUUUUAUCUAAAAAUUAACAGUUUUAUAUACCUGAGAAAGCCUGCUAUGUUUUCUUGAACCAAAAAAAAAAAAAAAAAAAAAAAAAUGAAAAAUUAAAAAAAAAAAAGCAUUUUUGUGGUCAUAUUUUUGUAGUAGAAUAGCCCAAAUAACAUCAAAAUCUAUUUUAACUAUAGCAGGGCAGAUAAAACAGUCUGGCACAAGCUCCUGUAUUUUCAGUGCGCCAAGGGAUUACGUGUUGAGCUCCCCAUGCAUUGCAGUGGGAGCCUCAUGGCUAAAUCCUGCUUUACUGCUUUGGAAAUUCAGGGCUGUGCCAGAUAUGACACGGCUACUCACAGCGCCAAAAUCCCUGCCCCACCCCAGUAGUUUGGAUUAUGUGCCCUUUGUUUUAUUUGGGUUAUCUCAUUGGAUAUGUAAAAUGAACUACUGGAUUCUUUUCUUUGUGUAACAUCGGCAAAGAGAUGAAAGAGUUUUCUCCUCUUAGUUUGGAAUGGGAAAGAGUUUGUCUUGAGACAGCGUUUCCACUCCAAUAAAAAAUGCCUUCAAAGUGGGAGUGAACUGCAGAACCUUAUAACAGCAAAAGAGAGUUUUAACCUUUCCAUUCCUUUACAUAUGGUUCAGCCAUCUCCCCCCAACCCCGUUCCCGUAGCUGUGCCCAGUUUCAGCCAAACAAAGCAAUGUUAGCUAACAGGCACUGUUGGUUUCAGAUGCUAAUGCAGAGAUAGUUAAGUCACCGUUCUAUUUUGUGGUCAUUUUCCCAGUGUAUUUGUUGAGCACCAAAACUGGAAGUACAUUUAACUAAGAUUGUCUGUGCUUGUUUUCCACUAAGUGUACUGUUCACAAUGUUAUGCACAUGAAUGUAUGUGUCUGCGUUUAAAGAAGUGUAUAAAAUGUAAUUUAUAUAUUUAUGUUUCAGUGGGAUGCCAAUAAUGUUGCUCCGUUCCUUUUUAUUUUUCUUUUUUAUUUUUCUUUUUUCUUUUUUCUUUUUUUUUUUCCUAGAAGAUAUCUAAUGAAAAAGAAAUCAUUUAUCCAUUAAAAUCAUGUAGAUGAAAAGCAUUAUGUGACCCACUCAGACACUGCGCAGGUAUGAAAGGAUGUCAAAGUCACUUAAGUGGAAUUAUUUGCAAGAAAAAAAACCACCAAAACCUUUUGGAGUGUCCUAUGGUCACACUGGAUAAGAGGUUGCAUUGAAACCUGUGGGCCAGAUUCCCUGGAGUAACUCUGUUGAGUAUAAUGGAGCUCUGCUGAUUUACACCACCAGUGAGUCUGGCCCGUGUUAAGCUCUCGGGAAGAAAGUAAGCUAAGAAGCAUGCAUUUUGCUGGUGCCAGCAAAUAAGCGUGUUAUGCCAAAUUCAGCAAACCAGGAGAGAAUGAAGGCUGAAUAGAGUCUUUUCCAGUAGUCGUUUGUUUGAGGCUUGUAGUGUCGAGUUAAUUUUGCUACUAGGAACGAAACGCACACGAGCCUUUGCUCUCAAGCACAACGUUUAUGUGGCAUGCAAGCAGAUAACACAAAAAUCUCAGGGCUAUAUUCUCAGCUAGUAUGAAUUGGCAAAUGUUUUUUACUUCAGCCGCCCCUAAGCUAAUUUACAUCAGAUGAGGAUCCAGUCCACAGUUUCAAAGCACAAGGAGCAGUGUCAUGACAUACGUGCCAUUUUGCUGUCGUCCGCCUGAGAUUUUACCCGGAGCCUUGUGAGCAUCGCAGGCUGUGCUGUUGGGCCUUCUGUGAGCUGGCAGAUAACAACCAGAAGGAACAGUGACCGUAAAGGUUGUGACACAGGAGACGUUAAUUCAAAGUUAAGUUGGACAUUUCAAAGGCCAUAUCCUCAGCUGGUGUAAAUCACCGUUGCUCUGUUGCCUGCAAUGUAGCGGUACCAGCUUACACCACUUGAGGGGCUGGUCCCUCAUUCUUGCUCAUCCCUUUCACUCCUCAGUCCUGCAGGGAUCUCGGAUUGUCGUGUACUGUUAAUGUAAUCCUGUGUUCUCUAAUACUUAAGCACAAUAAGUGAAUAUAAGAAUGAGUGUCAGACUUAACUUUGAAUGUCCGAGCUCUGAAAUGGUUUGUUUCACCAUUGUGGCUGUAAAUUAAACAGUUCUCUGUGCAUCUGUGAA